rnacentral:rRNA from 1 species
GACGAACGCUGGCGGCAUGCCUAACACAUGCAAGUCGAACGAGCCCUUCGGGUCUUUUCUCGCCCGGGUUCGUCACCCGUGGGAACCUUCCCUUAGGUUCGGCCUACCUCCCCGACUGGGGUACUUAUACCGGAUCAUGUCUUCUGACCAAACAUUUAUUGAGUUAGUAUGUUCCCGCGUUGAAUUAGCUUGUUGUUAGGGUAAAAGCCUACCACGGCGAGCAUCCAUAGCUGGUCUGAGAGGAUGAUCAGCCACACUGGGACUGAGACACGGCCGAGACUCUUACGGGAGGCAGGAGAGGGGGAUAGAGGAAAAUGGGGGAAAGGAUGAUCGAGCAAGGACGGGUGAGCGAUGAAGGCAGUAGGGUUGUAAAGUGCUUGUAACCGGGAUGAUAAUGACAGUACCGGGAGAAUAAGCUCCGGCUAACUACGUG